GUACUUGCUAAUGGCAAAGCGGAUUCUGCAGUCAUGAAGGUGGUUUCACCAGGACGUGACUUUUCUGUUGUACUUCGACUACGUUGAUAACUACGAUUAUAUCAAGUGUGAGUAACUCGAGUGCACAAUUUAUGGUAGUCAGGACUGCAUUCGCACAUACCUGAC